rnacentral:rRNA from 1 species
CUUUCAGCAAUGCCUGCCCAGUGCGAUCAAAAGUUGUAAACGGCCGCCCUAGCGUGAGGGUGCUAAGGUAGCGAAAUUCCUUGCCUUUUAAUUGUAGGCCUGCAUGAAUGGCUUGACGAGGGUUUAACUGUCUCUGGUUUAUAAAGUCUAAAUUGGAUUAAAGGUGAAGAUACCUUUAUACAAAAGUCAGACAAGAAGACCCCGUGCAACUUUUAAAGUCAGCUUACUUAGAAGCUUAAGAUUUUUAGGUGGGGCGCCUACUGAGUAAUAUCAACCUCUGUGUACGGUAAAACUUUCAAGUAUAGACCCGACAAUGUCGAUCACAGGAGAAGUUACGCCGGGGAUAACAGGCUAAUCCACUAGUAGAGAACGUAUUGGCUAGUGGGAUUGGCACCUCGAUGUUGAAUCAGGGAUGAUACCUUUAAGGCGUAGAAGCUUUGAAAGUG